UAAUCAAAACUUGGUCAUUCCUGUAGGCAC
rnacentral:misc_RNA from 1 species